CUUCCGGUGAGAUAGCGGAAUAAGCCGUUUCCUAGUAAUGCUAACGUUACCCCCAGCCAGAGUGACAUAGAAAGACAGUGUUUCUUUCUAAAGUAAUUUCAACUAUAAUUUAACUAACACUGGUUUUUGUUUUAACAUAUGUUGGUAUUAUAAUUUUUAUAAAAUGUCAUUGCGCAGCUCUGGUACCUGUUGCGCUGUUCGCGGCUGUACUAACAACCAGACUAAACUAAAUCUGUGGCUUCAACAACAGUGUGUUGACCACAUACCCGCAACAAAAAGGGAUUGUUCUUGUGACAAACGGUACAGUUUCCAUCGCCUGCCAACAGAUGAGGAAUACAAAAGAAUGUGGCUGAAAAACCUAGCCUUGAAGAGACCACCCAAAACCCUCUAUGUGUGCUCAUUUCAUUUUGUGGACAAAAAGCCGACGGAGGAAAACCGGCUUCCUACUUUGUGGUUGGGCUACGAAAGACCUCCACAGAAGAGACGUCGGGUCCUCAAAAGGAUUGACAGCAGUGCCAGGAGAACAUCAGAUGAGCCUGACGAGAUGGAUCGGGAUGAGGAGCCAUGCUCUACAUCAAAGCCCUCCUGUGAUGCCCAAACAUAGUGGUCAGACCCAGAGAUGGAGGACCACACCUAUUCAAUAAGGCCUACCAUCAAGUGCAGAAUGAGUACCCAAAAUUACCUUGUGCUGUUGCAGAUUUUAUUUUGGAGAGUGAUGCAGACUCCCUCUUGUAUACAGGGAUUCCACUUACUGAGUUACACACCCUUGUAUCCUGCCUACAACCAUUUGCCCCGACUUCUUCAUCCAUGCCUGUUGUGGACCAAAUCCUAAUGACCUUAAUGAAGCUAAGACAAAAUGUGGUCAUGGCCGAUUUAGCACGACCAUUUAAAACAUCACAAGGUCAGGUCAGCAAGACUGUUGGAAUUUGGAUAGACAUAAAGUCUUAACACACCAAUGAUCUUUCACUUUGCUGCCUCUUUAUAAAGCACAGUGAAAAACAUGGAUAUUUCCGUGGACUCAAUUCAUUUCGAAGUAGGGAAGCGUUGCAAGCGAGUGGCUUGUGGGGCGAUGCGUGGGAUCCGUGAGAGGCGAAGAAAAAGUUCAGGCUAUUGAGUAGAGAUGUGAAAGCAGAGACAGUGGAGACCGAGUAAUGCGCCUCCACUUCUGUGAAAAAACAACUUUAAAUAGGCUGCUUUGCCUGGCCAUAAGCACAUGGCACUACUCUACGACUGCUAAUGUUUAGUUCAAAUACACAGUUACAGAUCAAAUCUGUCUAUUUAGAUGGGUGUUUACAGCUUUUCUGCAUUUUAAUUGUUGGAUGUUUGACAUUCUGUUCUAUUUUAUAGUUUUAGCUAUGUGGCUAGCAAAUUGCACACACUUGGCAUUGGUUCAAAAUAACAAAAAACGUAAUAUGUUGUUUAAGAAAAGACAGAAACGUGAAGACUUACAAAACAUUGUAUUGUGUUUGGUGGAGGGUGAAACAUGGAAAAAAAGUGUUGAAUAAAGAUGUAAAAGUUGA